UACGUAGGGGGCUAGCGUUGUCCGGAAUCAUUGGGCGUAAAGAGCGUGUAGGCGGCCCGGUAAGUCCGCUGUGAAAGUCGGGGGCUCAACCCUCGAAUGCCGGUGGAUACUGUCGGGCUAGAGUGCGGAAGAGGCGAGUGGAAUUCCUGGUGUAGCGGUGAAAUGCGCAGAUAUCGGGAGGAACACCAGUGGCGAAGGCGGCGACCUGGACGGACACUGACGCUGAGACGCGAAAGCGUGGGGAGCAAACAGG
rnacentral:rRNA from 1 species